rnacentral:misc_RNA from 1 species
AACGCAUCUUGCGCUCCUUGGUAUUCCGAGGAGCAUGCCUGUUUGAGUGUCAUGUUAUCUUUUUCAACCUUCUUUUUUCUUUGAAACGAAGGCUUGGAUUCUGGAAGUUUAUGCUGGCUGGCUUUGGGCCAAGUUAGCUCUUCUUAAACGUAUUAGCAAGGUCAUUAUUAUCUUUGAUAAUGGCUGGAUCAUUUUUUGAUAUGAUAAUUAUCUAUAUCAUUAAUGAAACGGUUUAUAUCUUGCUUCUAAUCAUACUUGUUAUUAUUUGACCUCAAAUCAGGUAGGACUACCCGCUGAACUUAA